ensembl:snoRNA
GCCUGGGUUUGAACUUAUGGCAGCUCUGAUCCCAUGGGCCUCUCAUAGUGUCCCAUAAGCCAAAGCAAACUAACUCCGAACCAUUCUCUGGCUUUACCCCACAGGCUUCAGGCACUGAAGCGGGUUGCACAGUG